AUGGCCUCCCCCUCGGAUGCCAACUCUGCCACGAGCGGAGGCGCUUCGGCGGCCGCUAACGCCGCCCUGGAAGAGUUCUUCGAUCAACUGGAUCUGAACGACGAGGAGUUCAAUGAUGUUGAGAUUGAUGAAGAGGAUCCCGAAAUCAAAGAGAGCGUACGGUGGGUAGCCCUAGAUAGGGUUCACACCGACAAGAAUUUCUCGCAGUCGGCUUUCUACAAGGACAUGAGGGCGGCCUGGAACCCAGCGCAGCAGGUAAGAUUUCAUCCGGUCGGACCUAACAGAUUCGUUGUCCAAGCUUCUUGCCUGGGCGACUGGGAGAGGAUGAUGAUGCAAGGCCCUUGGCUCUUCCACAACAUGGCGGUUCUGAUGUGUCCGUACGAUGGUUUCACCAAAGCGGACGAUGUGGUUUUUGAUCAUAUGCCGAUCUGGUUACAGAUACAUAAACUUCCUGAUCCCUACUGCAAGCAGGGUAUUGUGGAGCGGCUCCUAAAGGGGGCCGGCGAGAUCUUGGAGAUGCGUUUAAAUGACAACACCCGAUGGGACUAUGUUAGGGUUAGGGUUAACCGUGACAUUAAGCAGCCUCUUACAAAGUUUGUGAGCAUUGUUCGGGCGCAGGAGAGGCAAGUUUAUCUGGUGCGGUAUGAGAAGUUGGCCCGUUUUUGCAGUUUCUGUGGUCGGAGAGGUCAUGAGCACAAAGAGUGUGGAUCUGGUGUCCAUGAUAAGAAGAAUCUCAAGUUUGGUGACUGGCUAUAUGCCGAGGGCCCUAGCCGGCCGAGGCCUGACCAAAACCCUAGCAGAGCAGAUACACCUCGUCAGUAG
rnacentral:rRNA from 1 species